UUGGUUUGCUCCAGGGGUAUCUUUCAUGAUGCCAAAACUAAGAUAGACUGUUGGGCGAAACGUUAAACAUUUAAAAUCAGUUUCAAACAACGGGUUCAUAUAAUUUUGGUAAAUAGGGAAUGGGAGAUUGGAAAUUUUGUUAAAACUGUUGAUAAGAAGGGGGGGUUUCUUGUGUGACCAAUAAUUGGAGGAAGGGAUAAUCUCCGACAAGGAUUGCAAUACGGGAAGCAAAGGGUGAGAAGAAUAUUGAAAGAUCUUGAAGAGGAAUCUAUUAGCAAGGAAUUGUCUACGUAGAUGUAGAGGGGGCUCCAGACAUUCGACUUGAAGAGCGUUUGUUGAAGGAAGCCGCCAUAAUCAAAAUGACUUCUAAUGAUUGCGUUGUACAGGAGCUUUUGGUUAUACGGAUGUGAUCCCCAACGAACACCAGAAAGUGCACUUUCAGGGAGGCGUCUCUUGCGGGAAAAAACGACAGCUGUGCUUUUGUUAGCUGAAAGAGAGAGGCCGUGAUCGGUAAGCCAAGAGUCUAGGUAAAAAAGGGCAGAGUUGAGGCGUCUUUCAGUAUCUGAAAAAGAUUUGGAACAAGCGUACAGGGCGAUAUCGUCUGCAUAUUGCAAGAUUUUGCAGAAGCAAUUGACUGAAGUGCCGAGGUCAGACGUGUACAAGCUGAAAAGGAGAGGGCUAAGAACGGAACCUUGAGGCAAGCCGUUCCAGACCAUACGGGAGGGGGUUGUGGAACCGUUAACACGCACUGCGAUAGAGCGACCCAUAAACAUGUUGUAAAUGACAUUGAUCAUCUUCACAGGAAUACACAGAUUGAGCAUCUUCUGCCAGAGUAGUGGAAGAUUCACGUUAUCAUAAGCUGAUG